rnacentral:lncRNA from 10 species
AAGCAAUCAGUUCUUUAGAGAGGGAGGUAGUUCGGCGUGAGCCACUGUGCCCGGCCGGGAUUGCAAUUUUAAAUAGGGUGCUCAGGGCAGGCCUCGCCUAGAAGAUGAUGUUUGAACAAAACUCUGAAGGAGGGUGAGGGAGCCAACCAGGCAGGAAACUGCGGAUGAGCAUACCAAGCAGAAGAGCAAGUACAAAGGCCCUGAGGCAAUAAUGUGCCUGGCUUCAGGGAAAAACAAGGUUGGAUGACUAAACUGGAAUGAGUGUCAAAGAGCGUGGUGGAAAAUGAAGUCAGAGAGAUGGAGGAAAGAUUCCUUACAGCCUGUAGUCAGUUGUGAAGACUGACUUUUACUCCGUAUGACAUAAGACAAGGCAGGAUUUGAGCCGAGGAGUGACAGGACCUAACUUAUAUUUUGAUGGGCUCUCUCUCUGUUUCUUGCAUGUUUGCCAUUUGCCCCCUUCCCCCUUAUUCUAUCUCAGAACCCCUGCUUACUCAUGUUCUGUGUUCUCUAACAUCAGUCUACAUGUGGCGUUGGGUUUGGUGUUGUAACAACUGGUGACAUUUCAGUUCAUGUGACUACUAUGACCUAAUCACUCAGUCUCUCAGUGUCCCAAUUCCAGAUUCUUGGGUGACAUAAUAUUAGACUCACAUAUUAUUAGACUAACUAAUAUUAGCCCACCAUGGUACAGCAUGCUGAGGCUGGAGUCAGAAGUGAGCAGAAUCCUGUAAUAUUUCCAAGAGGGAAUAUGGGCAGACAGGCAAUGGUUAGCACAUCAACUUCAUCAAGUACUUCAAAUAUUUUGGUUUCUCAAUAAAUAUAUACAUGAGUUAAUAAAUCUAGCAUAUUUAGUAAACAACUUAUAAUCCUACCUACUGUUGUAAUGCUCAGUAACCACUUCAGAGUAACAGUAAUAAUAGAUGACUUUAUACUAAAUGAUGGCUUUACACUAAAACAGGUUUCUAAAACUAUCUGUGGUAAGAACCAGUUUUCUUAUUUGUAUUUCCAAAUAGUCUCCAUAGGAGAAUGAUGUUUUUGUAAAAUAUGCUAAAAAUGAAUUCCUUGACAAAUUAAAUUUUAAAAAGAUAUGCAAAAUUGAAAAAAUUUUUUUUGUUAUUAGAUUCAACAGACAGAAGAUUGCUACGUCAAAUUGCUCUAGGUUUCUAAAUGCUUAGUCUCAAUUUCUGUACUGAUCACACACCAGUAACAGUUCCAUACUUUAAAUAGCACUGUACUAAAACUCACUUAUCUAAAUAGUAAAUUUUAUAAUAAUGAUGGUCAAUUAAU